UCGAUUCGCACUUGACUAAAACCCAAGGCGUGUGACCUAUUUUUCUCCAACACUGACCGAUUCUUUCUCUUCUUCUUCGCGGCGACCUCUGUUUUCCUGGAUCGGUCCCUCGAGUGCCAGGGAGAAGGAGAAGCUCCCAGAGAGGUCACCGCAAAACCCUACUUCCAUCCCGCACUUCCUCUAGCAUAUUUAUUGGUUAAAAUCUAGCUUGAAUCUUCCAUAAUCUGCUCCACUAAGCUUCCCUUAUCCUCUCUCCACUUCAAUGUCAAAGUCCCAUGGUCUUUGGCAAAGUUCCAGACGAACUGGUAGUUUCCAAGAAAUUGGGGCAUCUCUUUGAAAGGAAAUUGAGAGAGAGAGAGAGAGAGAGAGAGAGAGAGAGAGAGAGUGUUAGAAGGCAACAGAAAGUCCCCCUCAUCAUCGACCACCAUGGCGGACAAGCCAUAGGCGGUGCGUGUCCUCUACUGUGGUGUUUGCGACAUUCCUGUGGAGUACUGCGAGUUUGGCCCUAACUUAGAGAAGUGCAAGCCUUGGCUCCGUACCCACGCUCCCGAUAUGUACCCUGAUCCUCAAAGAUGCAGACAAAGCCGCCUAGUAGAUGAAGUCGGUGGCGAUUUUGGGUUCCACUGACGCAAGGGGAGAUGCUGGUGGGCUCCUUCAGGUAGGUAGUGCUUCAACAUCUAAGCAAGAAGAAGUAAAGCACCUUACUGGUGGUAAGAUAAAGAAGAAGGGACCAACCGAGAAAGAACAGAUUGAUGUGUAAGGAAAUAUUGCCUAUGAUAUUGUGGAAUUCAUUACCAAGACUUGUCAUAUGUAUCACUAUAUGAUUUCUUACAGACGUCUACAUUUCUGGACGACCAUUAGAUUUGCUAAAAGUUCAAUUACUAAUUUAGCACGAGAUUAUUUAGGAUAAAAGUUGUGUGAUUUGUAGUAGAAAGUUAAAGAAAGAGCUUGCUAAUUUAGCACGUGAUUUGCUGGACUAUGGUUUCUAGUAUAUUUUUAACCAGAGUAA